rnacentral:rRNA from 1 species
GAUGAACGCUGGCGGCGUGCCUAAUACAUGCAAGUCGAACGCUGGAAAUCUAGCUUGCUAGAUUGAAGGAGUGGCGAACGGGUGAGUAAUACAUAAGCAACCUACCCACGAAGACUGGGAUAAUCUCUGGAAACGGGGACUAAUACCGGAUAGGUAAUCGGAAGGCAUCUUCUGAUUAUUAAAGGUUAAAAACACUGGUGGAUGGGCUUAUGGCGCAUUAGUUAGUUGGUGAGGUAACGGCCCACCAAGACGAUGAUGAGUAGCCGGCCUGAGAGGGUGAACGGCCACAUUGGGACUGAGACACGGCCCAGACUCCUACGGGAGGCAGCAGUAGGGAAUUUUCGGCAAUGGGGGAAACCCUGACCGAGCAACGCCGCGUGAGUGAUGACGGCCUUCGGGUUGUAAAGCUCUGUUGUAAGGGAAGAACGGUAGAUAGAGAAUAUCUAAAUGACGGUACCUUACCAGAAAGCCACGGCUAACUACGUG